GACUAUAUAUUACAUGGACUGCCAACUCUACGCACUAAGCCUAUAUUUUUCAAUAAACAAGUCCCGUUCACGGAGGCGUCCUUGGUUGCGUGGUAAAUUGACUUCCGGUAGAUUUUUUUUUACGUAUAAAGAAACCAUUCUCGAAGAUUUUUACCAUCACUUUUACAGCAAAUCAUGAAUGGAAACUGAAUUGUUAAAGAAGAUGUUACAGAGGUAAGUGUGCACAAAUCAAUUUCUGACUUAGAUCUAUAACUGUAAAGCUUUAUAGCUGAUUUUCUUAGCCAAUAUAGACUAAUUAGCCAAGCCUGUAUUUUCUUGUUUACGACAUUGAUUGAAUUGAGGUUCUUGUGAGAGCAUAGCCUAUAUAUAUAUAUAUAUAUAAACCAAAUAGUAAGACUUAUUCAGAAGGAUAACCCGGAGCAUACUACUUCCACAAACCUGAUUUGAUUGUCACUAACUUUCAAAUUGAAAGGGAUCUACUACAACUGCUCAUGAAUUUCGAGAUUUUACAGCUAAUAGAGGAACAAAUUUUACCUGCUUCCACUUAGCCAAACAGCAAGGAAAUAUGCUAUUGUAAUGAGUAGAAGAUAUUUGUCAUUUAGAGUAUCAUGCAACAGCUAAUUAUCAGUCCACACAUUUCAAGAUGAGGAAAAGAACAGUAUAAGCUACAUUCAUUGAUGCAUUAUUUAUACAAAAAUGUAUAGUCAACCCAGUCAUCACUCCAUUUUUUUAUGAAGCCAGUUACAGUUACCAUGAAGGGAUGAAAUUUCAGAUAAUAUUCUGUUUAUUUCAUGAAAUGAGAAUAGGCCUACAUCAGAAAUUGAAAUGGUCAUCUUCAGUAUUUAAUGUUUCAUCUAAAAAUGAUAAUUAUAUUAAUACAUAUUUGAUGUACAAACAAAUGAAAACCAUUCAAACACUUUUUUUUUGUGAAGUAUAGAUGAUUAAACUUGUAAGUGUCUGAACAAUA